CAGUAGCCACGGUAAUACGAAGGGUGCAAGCGUUACUCGGAAUUACUGGGCGUAAAGCGUGCGUAGGUGGUGGUUUAAGUCCGUUGUGAAAGCCCUGGGCUCAACCUGGGAAUUGCAGUGGAUACUGGGUCACUAGAGUGUGGUAGAGGAUAGUGGAAUUUCCGGUGUAGCAGUGAAAUGCGUAGAGAUCGGAAGGAACAUCUGUGGCGAAGGCGACUAUCUGGGCCAACACUGACACUGAGGCACGAAAGCGUGGGGAGCAAACAGGAUUAGAUACCCCGGUAGUCCUUGUCUCUUAUAC
rnacentral:rRNA from 1 species